CAACAUAUAAUAUUCUGUACUCGAAGCUGAGGACAACAACAAACCAGAAAACGUUAAAUGAUAGAAUGAUCAUAGCCUGGAACGGUGUGCCAACCGUUUCAUAUGACCCAAGGCCAGCCGCGUUGUAUCCUUUUUCAACAAGAAAGGCGCAAUGCAAGGCCAUGUCUUGCGGGGGCGUAGGAAGCAUCUAAAAGUUGGGGGGGGGGUUCAAAAAAUUUUCCGGAGAUAUCACAUUUUUCCCGGAAAUGAAAAAAAUUUUCCGGAAAUAACAUAAAUUCAAGUUUUCAAAAGUGCCCUUUGGGCAAAAAAUGCAAUCUGAACGACAUUUUUCACGAAAGAAAAGGGCACUUUGCUCCCGGAAAAAGGGCACUUUGGAAAACUUGGAGGUCCUGGCCCCCCUGGCCCCCUCGGUUCCUACGCCCCUGAUGUCUUGACACAUAUAAACAACGAG